rfam:Cavia porcellus supercont2_14 genomic scaffold, whole genome shotgun sequence.
GUCUAUGUCCAUACCACCCUGAAAGCACUCAAUCUCGUCUGAUCUCAGAAGCUAAGCAGGGUCAGGUCUGUUAGUACUUGGAUGGGAGAAAGAAACAACUCUUGAAAUAUAUGUAAAAAUAUGCC